rnacentral:lncRNA from 1 species
GUGGAAGAGGAGUUGAGAGGAUGAGGAGCAGAGGGUCGGAUUUCAGAAAGUGGGAAGAAGCGGAGGCUAGCCAGUUGAAAUUUAUUGUCCUUAUCGUUAGGUCUCCCCCAAUCUCGUCCUUGAAGAACAGCGACCUUGCUCGAUCAGGGCAGCUCGUCAGCUUGCUUGCCAGCUGCAGGCCGAUUAAAUGAGUAUCUCAGGCACGCUGCUGUCCAAGACAUCAUACACGCUUCGGCCCUGCAUCAUUCAUAUCUUCUCCUAGGUGUGUGAGGAGGAGAAAUCAGGAGGACGAGGAGGAGAACAGUGAUCAUGUACAUGUAUGUAUGUAUUUUUUGCUUAUGACAUUCAAAACAAAUUACGUACCAUGCAAGGUCAAUACUACAGAUUGGUUCUCAAAGCCUUUUUUAGCUUGAUCUGUUGCAUCAUGCAUCGACUCCAUGUUCAUGUCAAGCUGACACUCUUCCCCCUAAUUCUUCAUGUUUUUUCAUGGUUACAAAUUCAGUUAUAACUUGGUUUGAUCUGUUGUAUCAGGCGAAACGAGUUGUCCUCAUUUGUGUGUAAAAACAGUCAGUUUAAAGCUAUACAGAAUAUGGACAAAAUGGGGACAGAAAGCUCAAAGAUGGCAAAAAGGGACCUUCAGGAGAUAUUUCGGUUGACGACAGUACUAUCAACGAGCAUUUAUUUCAUCCACAAUAAAGUUAGAGGAUGAGUCCCGCCCUGCUUGUAAGUAGCUGCUAUAUCAACUUGAUGUUCUUGACUAAGAUCAUGGUAAGCUUUAAUUUAAAAUCAAAUUAUUAUUUAGGUUGUAUUUGUUUUUCUAUUCAGAAACUGCCUUACCUUGGUUUUGUGACACUGUAUUGGGUGUCUUCUUUUCCUUUGAAGUGUUGAGAUGUCAGGUUUGUGGAGAUCUUCAUUGUUCCUUCUUUUUUGAAGCUCACACCGAUGUAACAUGAUAGUUCUCUACCCUAACAAUGUAAUAUUGCGCAUCAAGAUUAUGCAUUAUGAAAUUUGUAUUUUCUUA